UAAACCCCAGUUCUAAGUAUUUCUACUUAAAUACGUCAAGUACUACCUAUGAAUAAAUUGCAGGUAGUAAAUUUCUGAGGGGGGAAGUGAAAAAAAUGUCAUACCACUCAUGCCAUACAAUUGGUCUGGAAUUGUUCAAACCAGAAACAAAUUGUCAGAAAUUAGACAGCUUUAUGAUAAUUACAUUUCAGAAGUCUGUGAAGUACAGCUCUUUCUUACUUAUUGUAAUUUACUUCAUCAGGUUCACUACCCUCACCUUCACAAGAUGAGGAAUUUGAAUUGCGUAAGUAGUGGUGCUUGUGUUAACAGAGCAUUGCUUUCUUUUACAGCACAAGAUGAGGAAUUUGAAUUGCGUGAAACAUUUUGGUGCGAUGUGAGGCUUUCGACUAACCCCAAAGAGGAGUGCAGAUUUAUACUGUUGGGAGGUGAUGAACUUGCAAAGAAUGAUGCAUGUCGCUUCAUACUUAGGACUGCACAGGCCCAACAGGUCCAAGGGAGUAAUCUUGGAAGAUGUGAGAAGAAAGAAAACUAUGUUCAAGGAAGACAUGUCUGUGUGGUAAAUAGUCCUUUUCUUUGGAUGGAUCGUUUGGCGUCGCCCUUUUCUUUUUCCAAGAUACUCAAAUCAAUCCAAAACGAAAUGCAGAACUGUAUAUCGCUGGUGUUCCCUGGGCCUCAUGCUUUCCUUGUGGUGAUAAAAGUUGGCACUGGCAAAGAGCAUUACCUUUUAAAAGCCAUUACUUCUGUGUUUGGGAAAGAGGCCAUAGACUAUAGUAUGGUGGUGUUCAUUGCAGGGUCUGAACUAUCAAAGAAUGCCACUCUCAAGUCUCUUUCAAUGUGUAAAGAUCGGUAUCAUCUCUUAGAGAACACGGAUGAAAGUGUUCAAGAACUGUUCAGAAAAGUUGAAGAGAUGAUAAGUAAUAAGAAGAGCAAGUUUUUUAUUCCAUCAGCAUAUGAAAUAUUUACACAAGUUAAUUUUGAAUCUUGGGAAAAAGACAGAAUUGCCUUGUUGGAUGAGUACAAGAAUAAAGAAGAAAAGCUUUGUAAAAAACUGAAGGAUCUGGAUAUAACAACUCAAAAUCUAAGGAAGGAAAUUGAAAAUAUAUCCCAACUCAUGGAAAGUACACAAUUAACACUUAAGACACAAUUAAGACAAUUACAAAAUGCUUCUCAACAAAGAGAGAGUGAACUACGGACGGAAUUGGAUGCUUCUCAACAAAGAGAGAGUGAACUACAGACGGAAUUGGAUGCUUCUCAACAAAGAGAGAGUGAACUACAGACGGAAUUGGAUGCUUCUCAACAAAGAGAGAGUGAACUACGGACGGAAUUGGAUGCUUCUCAACAAAGAGAGAGUGAACUACAGACGGAAUUGGAUGCUUCUCAACAAAGAGAGAGUGAACUACAGACGGAAUUGGAUGCUUCUCAACAAAGAGAGAGUGAACUACGGAUGGAAUUGGAUGCUUCUCAACAAAGAGAGAGUGAACUACAGACGGAAUUGGAUGCUUCUCAACAAAGAGAGAGUGAACUACAGACGGAAUUGGAUGCUUCUCAACAAAGAGAGCGCGAAAAAAUGAUGCAUUUGGAUGCUUCCCAUCAAAGAGAGAGUGAACUAAGGAAGGAGUUGGAAGCUUUCCAAUGCAGAGAGAGUGAACUAAGGAAGGAGCAUAGAUGGAGAGAAGUGGAGAGCAAACAGCAAGAGCCACAAGCCACUGGAACACAACUGGUACGCUGGGGCAGCAAAGACCAAUUAUAUCCAGUCUUCAUUAUCAUAUAUUUGGCUACAUUGCCUCUUUAAAUAUUUGGACAGGAGGUAGCAUGUCUGCAGAGCCGAAGAUACAAGGCUUCCUCCACAGAAGUCCGUUCAUCUACGAUGCUCACAUUUCCAUAUUUUUAUACUAACAUUAUACCACAGCGCUAGGGGUGUAACAAUACAUCGUGACACGAUACAUCACAGUGCAAAAAUGUGACGAUGUGCCAUCAUAGAAAUGUGUGAUAUCAGCAUACUAUUAAUUAUGCAGUUGUACUGUUUGAACACCAGAGGUAACAAUCAGCACAACCCAUAGGAUUAAAAAAAAAAUUCUUUCAUGGAGAGCCUGUGCCAUUCCCAAAAGGGAAUAAUCUGCACUUGGGAAGUGGCUGAUAGCUCCAGAUCACAAUGACCAAUAUAUUUCAAUCUAUCAUUUUUAAAGUUCCCAGGUCAGAGACUUUAUUAAAUUAAUAAAACAUUUUGGAGAACUUUAAAUAAAUUUAUAUAUUUAAUUUUACAUGUGGUGAACCUGUAAAAACUUUGUUUACAAUAUUAUACCUCUGUAGCAUUUUUAAGAAAUAUAUAUAUUUCCAGUUUUAUACAGGUAAAAAUGCCCAUGUACAGUUGAAAAAUGUUGAUAUGGUGGAAGUUUUUAUGGAAAACUUUUUUUAUGGAAGAAUUCUCCAUUGUCAGUGCUUUGAAAUCUUCAGGACAGAGGACUUUAGUGAGAACAUAAAUUCACUUAAUCAUUGGCACAUUUUUGUGGUGGUAUAAAAAGAAUAUGCCUCAGGGUGGUAACACAUACUUUUGCUCCUUUCAUCAUAUCUGCUUGAUUAUGAAGAUUAUAGAGAAGAUUAUAGACUAUUUUCAAGUAGCAAUAUAAUGUGGACAUGUUUCAAUGCUUGCUUAAAUGUGACAAAUGCAUAACUUUGAAUUAAAGCGAAAUAGAUUAAAAGUAUAUUACUGUAUAGUACUAUAGAACUAAAAUGAGUAAACUGUCAGCAGCUUGUCUGCUAAAAUGUACUGAAGACUUCAUACAUGUUUGCCUUCUCAUAAAUACUGGAAUACUGUUUUACUGUCUACUGUUUUAAUAAUCUCUCUUCAGUUUCCAGUGACCAAGCUGACUAUUUAGAACCAGUAUAAAUGGGUACAAAGCACAGAAAGAGAAAUCCAUGUAGAUGAUCUCCUGAGACACUACAGACAAAAUCGUACAAGAACACAAAAGAAGAAAAGGGAGGAAGACCACAAAUACAGGCUCAAUUCUGAUAAAGAGAUGCUUUGUGCUUGCACUAACUUGAGACGAGGAGAUGUGUUUCCUUACAAUGCACAUUCUGUAAAGUUUUUAAAAUUUAAAAGUAACCAAUGUAAAAAAAAGUUGAAAUGGUAGAAAUGUAGCUUAGGCUUUUUUAUUAGUUUUUAAAAUUUACGUGCUAAUAAGAUUUACCUCACUUUUGCUAAUUUAAUUAUUUUACUUUACAUUGUAGUUCCUCCGUGCUUGAAUAUUUAAAGUUUUCUAUUUUUUAUGUUUAUGUUAUAUUUGAGAGCUAUGUAUGAAAUGUGAUAUGUGAAUAAAUGUGCUAUUUUUUUUUUUUAAUUAUUUUUAAAAAUCAGAGUCGUGGUGUUCCUGGAAUCCUACUACAUAUACAGGCGUGAAUGAAAAAUAAGGUAAUGUGAGUGUAAAAUAAGGUAGAACGUGAAUGUAAAAUAAGGUAUAAACAAAUAAUGUGUGCACAAGUAGAAUAUAUUUCCAACAUAAAUAAUUAUUAUUCUUCAUUAUUUCAGAUUUUCUUUACUGACUUUUGAAGUGGGAUACAGAUCACAGACAUAUUGAUAUAUGAGCUAUGUGUCACUUUGUGUGAUUCACAUGCGUUUAUUGCAAGUAGCAACCUGCUAUCCAUAGUGGAAGAAAUGGAGGCAUCAGAGUGCGCUGUGGUUUGGAUUGGGGAUUGUACAGGGAUUGUAGGGAGAUCUCAGUAUGUCAACAUACUAGACAAAAUAAACAAGUACACAUUGUGUACUCAAAGAAUAUAGUGCACAUUGCAUGAUUUGAGACACAGACUAAGCGUCACAGAGCCCUCCUGUAAACAUGUUUCCUGCUGUCCUCUGACACACCCCCUGAUUUUCGUAAACUUCGUAAAGUUAAAGUUGGUUUUCCAUGUAUGACAUAUUUCACACUGUAUACCUCAUCUCUAAAAUAUCAGGAUCAUUUCUUUUCAAUGUAUGAUUCUUUCUUUAAGGUCAGGGUUGGCCUACACGUUAUUUGCUAUCUCAAAAUAAUAAUUUGUUUAAUUGCUGCUUUUAGUCCCAUGACUGUCUCCAUGCUAAUGGAUUACAAAAGCACAUGUAGUUUUGGCUUUAGAGGUUUGGGAGACUAGUUAGGUAUUUCUCUCAACCAGCUAACUAUGACUAUUGGGGAAAAGAAAAUUAGAUUUUGAAAUAUAGGAGCACCCUGCCCUCUUCCCCAUUGGAAACUACGCCCAUGGAUCCCAAGGGUUUUAUGCAGGUUUAAUCAUUUUUUAUACUUUUUAUACAAAUAGAACUUGCCACUAAGCAAAUCAAUAAAGAUCACAAAUUACUUUAAAACACCUUAAAUGAAAACAAUUAGGAAUACAGCUGUCAUUGUAUAGGUCUUUGAAGGGGUGCCAAUAAUUUUGACACUUACAUUUUUAGAGCGAAACAAUAGUCAGUGUUUUCAAAUACAAGGUUGAAAUGAAAUCUGAUGCAGGGAAAAUGGAAAAGUAGAGAAUGUCAUUUCAUUAAAAUGGAAUC